UACGAAGGGGGCUAGCGUUGCUCGGAUUUACUGGGCGUAAAGGGCGCGUAGGCGGCGCGGUAAGUCACUUGUGAAAUCUCUGAGCUUAACUCAGAACGGCCAAGUGAUACUGCAGUGCUAGAGUGUGGAAGGGGCAAUCGGAAUUCUUGGUGUAGCGGUGAAAUGCGUAGAUAUCAAGAGGAACACCUGAGGUGAAGACGGGUUGCUGGGCCAACACUGACGCUGAUGCGCGAAAGCCAGGGGAGCAAACGGG
rnacentral:rRNA from 1 species